UCUUUAUUUUGGUAUUUGGAACACUGCUGGAUGGUAAGGUGCGGUCAGCAAUAGCAUCAUGGUCACAACCCUCCAGAAGUAGGACAGGGAGCACAAGUGCUGGAAACUCAACAUCAAGUGGACUUCGAUUUUUAAGGAACUGGAGACGUGGAAGAGGUAAAGAGCCAUCAAGGAAAUUAAUCAAUUAAGGUUCCAUAUAAAAAUGAAGUGAAAGCUGUGUGUUUUUAGGUGUGCUUGUACUUUG